rnacentral:lncRNA from 1 species
UGUUCGUCGCUCUGGGGGUGGUCGCACCGAGGGGCAGCAUCGCUCCGUGGGCAGGCAACCUCAACGUGAAAAACACAAGGAUUUGAGGAGUGUGAAGCAAAUUCGCAAAUUAAAGAUGUAGCACUUCUGACAAAUGCCUGCAGUAGCUCAUGUCCUGUGAGAAGAUUUAUCUCCAGACCUAGAGGUUCCCUUCAGGAACACUCCAGGGACACUUUCACCAGCACCACCAUCUAAUAUUAGUUUUAUUACAGGCAGAGAACAGAGAGAGCUGCCAAAGAGGAGAUCAAGGGAUGGGUUGAUGUUCAACCAGAGGAGAAUUUAACAGUCCAAGGUGU